GAUGAACGCUGGCGGCGUGCCUCAAACAUGCAAGUCGAGCGGGGCUAUGUAAUAUCGCAAGGUAGAACAUAGCCUAGCGGCGAACGGGUGAGUAACACGUGGGUAACCUGCCUGGAAGACAGGGAUAACGAUUCGAAAGGGUCGCUAAUACCUGAUAAUAUCCUUUCAUCGCAUGGUGAUAGGAAGAAAGGGGAAACCCGCUUUCAGAUGGGCCCGCGUCCCAUCAGCUAGUUGGUAAGGUAAAGGCUUACCAAGGCGACGACGGGUAGCCGGUCUGAGAGGAUGUACGGCCACACUGGGACUGAGAUACGGCCCAGACUCCUACGGGAGGCAGCAGUUGGGAAUCUUAGGCAAUGGGCGGAAGCCUGACCGAGCGACGCCGCGUGAGGGACGAAGGCCUCGGGUUGUAACCUCUGUCUGGGGGACGGAGUAAGGACGGUACCCCGGACGGAAGCCCGGCUAACUACGUG
rnacentral:rRNA from 1 species